rnacentral:lncRNA from 13 species
GGCCUACAAAGAUAUUCCAGGAUAAUCUCCCAUUCUUCAAGCAGUAAUCACAUCUGCAAAGUCCUCCUUGCCAUGAAAGGAAGAGAAGUUUAGACACAGACCUGAAGAAAAGGAAGAUGAUGUGAAGACAGAGGGAGAAGAUGGCCAUCUAGAGGCCAAGACUUAUACAAAAUAAACAUCCAUCAAGGUCACGAAAGACAAGGUAACAUUAAGAGAGUAUGAAAGGAUUGGAGGCAACUGAAGAGAAAUCACUCCUGAAUGCAAUAUGGACCCUGGAGCAGAUAAAGGACAUUACUGAAAAACUGGAUGAAAUCCCAACAUGUCUCCUUGUCACCUAUGUCUGUCCCUUCAACUCAGGACCCACACUACAACUAAAUGAUCUUUUCAAAAAGCAAAACUGAUCAUACCAACCACUGCCUCUCAGCAGCAUUUAUGGAAUAUGUGUUGAGGACAGUUGUGUUGAAGGAUGUAGCAAAGUCCUGGCCUGCAAGGACACUCAGAACCCAUUGCAGGGAAGAUCAGGCUAUGAGCGAGCAAUGAUGAUGCCGCACGAUUCAUACUGUAAUAGAGUGUGCUGUGAGAAGGUGAAGUUGGAGCAGCAAACUCUGGAGGCUGGGAAAUUUUUUUUAGGGAAGAAAAUAUUGCUGCACAGUCUUGAUGAAUAGAUCUUUUCCUUGAAUAAAACAGU